GGUAAGGUGGGGGCGGGCGGCGCGGUAAAAGGAAGGGGGCAAGAUGUGUUCGGAUUGAUUGGGCGUAAGGCGGGCGCAGGCGGAAAAUGAAGCCAGAUGUGAAAUCUCGGGGCUCAACCCCGAAACUGCGUCUGGAACUGGUUGUCUGGAGGCUCGGAGGGGAAAGCGGAAUCUCGCAUGUAGGGGUAAAAUCCGUAGAGAUGCGAGGGAACACCAGAGCCGAAGGGGGCUUUCUGGACGAGUACUGACGCUGAGGCGCGAAAGCGUGGGGAGCAAACAGGAUUAGAUACCCGUGUAGUC
rnacentral:rRNA from 1 species